GACGAACGCUGGCGGCGUGCUUAACACAUGCAAGUCGAACGGAAAGGCCCUGCUUUUGUGGGGUGCUCGAGUGGCGAACGGGUGAGUAACACGUGAGUAACCUGCCCUUGACUUUGGGAUAACUUCAGGAAACUGGGGCUAAUACCGGAUAGGAGCUCCCGCUGCAUGGUGGGGGUUGGAUAGUUUCGGCGGUUGGGGAUGGACUCGCGGCUUAUCAGCUUGUUGGUGGGGUAGUGGCUUACCAAGGCUUUGACGGGUAGCCGGCCUGAGAGGGUGACCGGGCACAUUGGGACUGAGACAGGGACCAGACUCCUACGGGAGGCAGCAGUAGGGAAUAUUACACAAUGGGCGGGAGCCUGAGCCAGACACGCCGCGUGCGGGAUGACGGCCUUCGGGUUGUGAACCGAUUUCGCCUGUGACGAAGCGUGAGUGACGGUAAUGGGUAAAGAAGCACCGGCUAACUACGUG
rnacentral:rRNA from 1 species